rnacentral:misc_RNA from 1 species
UCGUAACAAGGUUUCCGUAGGUGAACCUGCGGAAGGAUCAUUACCGAGUGAGGGCCCUCUGGGUCCAACCUCCCACCCGUGUUUAUUUACCUUGUUGCUUCGGCGAGCCUGCCUUUUGGCUGCCGGGGGACGUCAGUCCCCGGGUCCGUGCUCGCCGGAGACACCUUAGAACUCUGUCUGAAGAUUGUAGUCUGAGAUUAAAUAUAAAUUAUUUAAAACUUUCAACAACGGAUCUCUUGGUUCCGGCAUCGAUGAAGAACGCAGCGAAAUGCGAUACGUAAUGUGAAUUGCAGAAUUCAGUGAAUCAUCGAGUCUUUGAACGCACAUUGCGCCCUCUGGUAUUCCGGAGGGCAUGCCUGUCCGAGCGUCAUUGCUGCCCUCAAGCACGGCUUGUGUGUUGGGCCCCGUCCUCCUUCCGGGGGACGGGUCCGAAAGGCAGCGGCGGCACCGCGUCCGGUCCUCAAGCGUAUGGGGCUUUGUCACUCGCUUUGUAGGCCUGGCCGGCGCUUGCCGAUCAACCAAACUUUUUAUCAGGUUGACCUCGGAUCAGGUAGGGAUACCCGCUGAACCUAAGCAUAUCA